AUAAUCAAACUUUGGCUCUUACCCAAUCUUACCGGUUAACUCUGUUAACCCCAAUAACUCACAACCUAAAAUUCCUUAAUAACGGGGGACUCGAACCUCCCUAGGGACCGUCAACUGGUGGGACUUUACCACGCCCAGUGGUGACCAACUCCGGAGCGCACCGCUCGAGGGGGAGCGACCUCCCUCAAGCCAAGACGAAAGGUGAG
rnacentral:lncRNA from 1 species